rnacentral:sRNA from 1 species
UUUCGUUGCAUGAUUGGAUGUAAGGA